CCAGACUCCUACGGGAGGCAGCAGUGAGGGAUAUUGGACAAUGGGGGGAACCCUGAUCCAGCGACGCCGCGUGAGUGAAGAAGUAUUUCGGUAUGUAAAGCUCUAUCAGCAGGGAAGAAAGGAAUGACGGUACCUGACUAAGAAGCCCCGGCUAACUACGUGCCAGCAGCCGCGGUAAUACGUAGGGGGCAAGCGUUAUCCGGAUUUACUGGGUGUAAAGGGAGCGUAGACGGUUACGCAAGUCUGGAGUGAAAGGCGGGGGCCCAACCCCCGGACUGCUUUGGAAACUGUGUAGCUUGAGUGCAGGAGGGGUAAGCGGAAUUCCUAGUGUAGCGGUGAAAUGCGUAGAUAUUAGGAGGAACACCGGUGGCGAAGGCGGCUUACUGGACUGCAACUGACGUUGAGGCUCGAAGGCGUGGGGAGCAAACAGGAUUAGAUACCCCAGUA
rnacentral:rRNA from 1 species